GUACACAAUAUCUGGGGAUCCCUGGGGACCAUCCUGGAGGCAACCUGUCAUACCUUGUGAAUUGUUUUUUUUUUUUUUUACUUUUUUUUUUUUUUUUUUAACCUUGUGAAUUGUUAACCGACUGUGCAAAUAGCAGCCUCCAAAUGCUCCCACAAAUGUGUUCUUUGCUGGGAAGGUAGUUAUAAAUUAUUUAUCAGCCUUUCCCUCAUAGUUUUGCAAACAUGGUAACACUAUUACCUCUUUGCUCCUCAAAUGCAAAGGGCACUCCAGCGGGUAAAUGGACAGUAAUGACAACUACCUCUGCACCACAAAGAUUCCAGAUGUGUUGACUCAAGCGAUGUUUGAAAAGGCUUCUGGUGAAUUCUGGACUGCCUUUGAAUAGUUCAUCCCUCAUCACAAACACCUGGAGGCAGGAAGGCAUCAGGAAUUGGCUGCACCAGAGAAUGGCUUUUCUUCCCCAGGGUGAAUGCUGGACCCACUCUGCAAAGGAGGCCAGACAAGCUCUCACAAAUAAGGUUUCUACAGAGGAAAUCCAUUUCCUGCUUUCACU
rnacentral:lncRNA from 12 species